CUUAAGUAGAAGAAGUACAUAAUAGUUUAGCUGGCAGCUAUGAGCCAUUUACAACGCUAUAUUUGGCUUUUGUUGGAUUCCUUACAUAGUUUGCUAGGAGCAGCUUUUUUCAGCUUAUGUUAGUAUACUGCAUUUAGCAGAAUUAUAAAGUCCUAAAAUUGCUUGUGCUUGAAAAUUAGAACUGUACAUUUAUGGUAACUUGGAUUUAAAAUAAGUUUUCAAUACAAGGCAGAAGCUUGGAUAAAAAACAAAAUGGUGAUCACUGGAAAAAAAUCAGGAACGGCUACCUGGAGAGGAGAUGGACGCCAUCAGGUUAAACCCUGCUCGAGAAUCAUCGAUGAUGCAACGGCACCUGAAGUGCCCUAACAGUCGUAAGCGGCCUCGGGACUAAAGAAGAAAGUGCCUUUUUAAAUUUCAAUAAUGAAGAACCGAUGGAGUGAGAUACACCAAAUAAUUGGAAACUACAGUAGAAACCUGGGAAUGCUGUACUCCUUAAUUAUAGAAAAGGAAGUACAAAGGUUAAAUUUUUCAUUUAUAAAACCAUAUAAAGACCAUUAUUUAUAUAUGGCUCGGAAGCAUGGGUGUUAGCCAAGAAAAUAAAGAGUAAAAUACAGGCAGCAGAGAUGAAGACUCUGAGACUCAUAUAUGGAAUUACUCAUGGUGGUAGAAUAAUAAAUGAGGAUAAAAGGAGGAGUAUUCGAGUGGAUUCAGUGCUGGAAUGUAUAGAGAGGAGAAACAGUCGAGGUGGUACGGGCAGGUAUGGUGAAUAGAUGAAGAAAGGUACCCGAAAAAAUAUAUAGAGCGGAUACCAAUUGGAAAAAAGAUCCAUACGAAAACCAAUGAAGAAAUGGAGACAAAACAUUAAACAGACUGUUGUAAAUAGAGGAUCAACAUGGGAGGAAAUAGAGAAACAAGAAUUCUAUUUGCAUAUGAGUGUGUGGCUAAUUUUUGUGGAGUGAUAAAGCUGAUAGGCUUGAGUCUAACAGGAAGAAGAAUAAAUUCUUUACCUCUGUCAAAGAUUAUGAAAAAUAAACAAAUGUCCAGUUAACUAAGAUAUCACAUCAUCAGUGGCCUUCAAAAGACACUGAAACUAAUUUAGUUGCAUGCGGCCGUACAGGAAGCACGGUACUCUGGUCUCUCUUAAUAAUUAUGGUCAAUUUAUACACUGUUAAAUUACUCUAGUGUAAAAUAUUCAUUAAUGAUUCAAAUGGUUUUGUGGUAAAUUUCUAAAAUUGUAAUAUAUUCUGCUAACUAACGGCUUUCAUUAUGAACUAAAAUUAUAGUAAUUAUUGUGGUAAAGCAAUGUUGUAAAACAAUAAUUAAUACUUAAAAUAUACUUUCGAUCAGAACGAGCCACUGAAAACAAAGUAGUUACAAAGUCAUUAUUUUUUAUUUUGAUGUAAUAAAAUUCUUAGUAGACUAAAUUCCUGACUUCGCCAUAUUUAUUGCAUAGUUGAUCGGAAUAAAGUUCCUCAGUUAAUGAUGUGUCAUUUGUUUUGUUUCGUAUAAUUACUAUGAUAAAUGGCUAAAUUAAUGAUGUUGUUUUCGACUGAACACCUAAAAAAGUUCUGAUACCUUGAAGAUAAAAUAAUAUAAUAGGCUAUAUAACAGGGCCAUUUCUGUCGUAAAUAUUCUAAUACUCAAACACAUAUUUGCCUCUGUCGUUUUUCUUGAGAAUUAUGAUUGGUUAGCUCAUCAAAGCAUUCAUGAAAUCUUUGAGUUAACAUUUUCCAGGAAGUCCUUUGGCAAAAACGUGUUUUGAAAUAAGCUAAAACGUUAAAUGUAAUUAACGAAACUAAUCUUAGUUUGAGACAUAAGUUCAGAAUCUGUAUGUGAAUUAAGAAGAUAGACGCAGACUCCUAGUACAAUUACUCCAAUAAAUUUGAUUUCAUAACAAGUUUAGCAUAGGUGGAAUCUUGUGUGAGAAACAACACACCGUUACUAAUUAAUUUGUUAGAAAUUUAAAGAAUUAUAACUUAAAGCAAUGACUAUAGUAACGGCAAGCUUCAU